AACGAACGCUGGCGGCAUGCCUAACACAUGCAAGUCGAACGAGACCUUCGGGUCUAGUGGCGCACGGGUGCGUAACGCGUGGGAACCUGCCCUUAGGUUCGGAAUAACUCCCCGAAAGGGGUGCUAAUACCGGAUAAUGUCUUCGGACCAAAGAUUUAUCGCCUUUGGAUGGGCCCGCGUUGGAUUAGCUAGUUGGUAGGGUAAAAGCCUACCAAGGCGACGAUCCAUAGCUGGUCUGAGAGGAUGAUCAGCCACACUGGGACUGAGACACGGCCCAGACUCCAAGGGGGGGCAGCAGGGGGGAAUAUGGGAAAAGGGGCGAAAGCCUGCCCCAGAAAUGCCGCGUGGGGGAUGAAGGCCUUGGGGUUGAAAAGCUCUUUUACCCGGGAUGAUAAUGACAGUACCGGGAGAAUAAGCCCCGGCUAACCCCG
rnacentral:rRNA from 1 species